GAUUAACACAGAGCGAACUUGGCAAAAUACAAUGCAUGCUUCUGUAGUACGAGUAGUACAGUAUCAUCGGUAACAAUUGUGUAUAAGCCACCUAGCUAAUAAAAUACUGGGGCUUGCGGUCAUUUGUUACAUUUCAACCACAGCGAUUCCCCAAUUAAGGCGCAACAGAGUUCACCGGCAAAUGCAGGAACAACGGAAAUAAUAACUAAACCAACGAAUGAGAAAUGGUGGAGGCUACCAGAACAAAGAGACAUUUUUUCAGAAUAAACGUGCACCUGUCCCAGCUCUGGUCCCGGUCCCAGUCCCUGUCCCAGCCCCUGCACCUCCAGCUGCCCCAGCACCAAGGGCCCCUCCUGCCCCACCUGGUCCUAGAAAAAUAAACAUCAAGGCAGUUCAUAUGUCUGCAUCUUUCCAUCUGAGAGAUGAUGGGAAAUGCAGCAGCAAGGUAUAGUAGGGGUAAUGGGUGCCGGUUUAGCUCUGGGAACGGCUUCACUUGAAUGCAACAGUGCAGUAUUCUGGAAAACAAAACCUUCUCACCAUAUUUGUCUGCCUUAAAUCCAGAUCCAGUACCAUAGCCUGCAGAUCCCAACCAAACACACAGAGACCAGUGUCAGACAUCAGAACAUACUGAUGGAAUACACUUACCCAUUGGUCUUUCUCUGUACAUUUCAUGUACUUACCAACUUGUCUUCUAUGUAAAGUAAAGGUCAGUGAAAUGACCCAAACUAACCCAUCUAUAUCCUCUCCACUCUCUCAGCUCUCCUCACACUUACCCCUUUUCCCCCAGGGAGAACCGCUGUACCCUCCUGGAAGCCCACCUGGCACCCCUCCUAAUCCUGCUCCGCCCCCGGCUCCAACGCCACCUGGUCCGGCUCCAAAGCCACCUGGUCCGGCUCCAUAGCCACCUGGUCCGGCUCCGAAGCCACCUGGUCCAGCUCCGAAGCCACCUUUGUAUACAGAGUGUGUUAAUAUAGGGAUGUGAUGAUAUUGUAUCAUCUGUUUAGCUAGAAUGUGGUGUUGCAGUGUGAUUAUAUGUACAAUUUUCAGCUGUUACUUAAAUGGUGGUAGUGCAGUAAGUAGCUUUGAGAGGCAAAGUCGACAUUGGUGCUAAAUAAUAGGCAAUAUUUUCUCACCUGGUCCAUAGCCACCUGGUACCCCUCCGACUAUGGAAGUAAGAGGUAAUCCCCCAGAUCAAAGUUAGACAUUUUCUGGACAUCGAUUCAACUUUAUAUUCCCUUAAAGGGAUAGUUCACCCAAAUUACCAUAUUGGUUUCCUUGAACAACGUACGACCAGACUGACAAGACCAAUAAACUCACAUCCUUGUCCAGCUCCUCCUCCAAGGGCCCCACCGGCCCCACCAGCAACUUGUCCAUAUUUAGCAGGUUUUGAUCCGGCUCCAUAUCCUGUAGAAUCAUAGCGAAUCUUUUCACUACAGAAUGUUGAACUCAAAACCAACAGAAAAAAACUGCCCAACCAAUGCCAUUUAGUAGGAAGCUUGAAGCCCAACAAACAAUGUUUUCCCUGGAAUACACAACAAGGAUUCCCAAUCAAAUAAUCCCCCCAAGUCCAACUAUUAUUAGUUGCCUUUAUUUAACCAGGUAAAUCAUUAAGAACAUAUUCUCAACAAACAAGGAACGCUGCUUUGUAAAUAGCCCCUAUAUCCCAACCUGUCCUAGGGAACCCCUGGCUCUGCUGUUGACUAACCUCUUCCAGGUCCAUAUCCGGCCCCAGGUAGUCCUCCUGCUCUUGCCCUAGCUUCAUAGCCUCCUCCAGGGACUCCUCCUGCUCCCUGACCGUACCCAGCUCCAGGCCCUGUUCCUGCUCCAUACCCUGCACCAGGCCCAGCUCCGGUCCCGUAUCCACCCCCAGGCACUCUUCCUCCUGCUCCUGCUUCUCCUGCUCCUAAGGCGCCUCCUGCCCCUGGUCCGUAGCCUCCUCCUGGCAGACCUCCUCCCGGGGCACCGAAUCGCCCACCAAGGCCUCCACCCGGAGCUCCUCCACCUCCUCCUGGACCUGGCAGGACAACACGGGAGGGGUCAAAGGUUAGGGUUAGACAACAUAAAUAUGGCAGCCAUAUUGUUUUGUUUCAAGGAUUUUAACAUAAAUACUCUCCACAGAGAGAAAAUAAUGAUUACCGUAUUUCAGAGACUUAGCCCCAGCAGGAUAUCCUGUGAGACAGAGCACAUGAUGGGAGACAUUUUAAUGAUGGGAGACACUUCGUUGGUCCUAUACCAGGCAGUGUCAGAGGAAGGCCCUAAAAAUGGUUGAAGAGUCCAGCUAUCCAAGUCAUAGACUGUUCUCUCUGCUACCGCACGACAAACGGUACCGAUGCACCAAGUCUGGAACCAACAUUAUUCUGAACAGCUUCUAGCCAAAAGACUGCUAAAUAGUUAACCAAUUAGCUACCCAGACUAUCUGCAUUGACCCUUUUUGCACUAACUCUCAUCACAUGCAGCUGCAGCUGCUGCUGCUUAUUAUCUAUCCUGUUGCCUCGUCACUUUACCUCUACCUAUACAGUGCCUUGCAAAAGUAUUGUUGUAGUUGAAUCAGAAUUAGUUAGGUAACAUAGAUAAAUAAGAUGUUUUAUUUACUUUAUACUUGUCAUUAGAAUGUCUUCUUUUGGACUAUACUGUUGGCAGUUGCAUUUUCUUCUCCUCUAGGGAAAAGUCACUUGGGGCCCAGAGAGGGGAGAGGUCAGGCUUGUCUUUUACAUGUCUGGUAAUAGGCAGAAUAUCAGAAAGGGAGAAGUCAGGUUUGAACAUUGUCUUCAUAAUGAAUAUAUCUGUGAAACCAUGUGAAGGGCUCCGUAAUGUCUGUACUCCAGUCACUCCCUCUCUUUUCCCAUUGGGGGAGGAGUAUGGCAGUGUCUGGAACCAUUGUAUGUCCCCUCUCUUGACCUAGUAUAUGACCUGGAGGCUCACUCUCCUCCGUGAGCUUGUCCAGGAGGGGGUGUAUUUGAGAUGGGAGUAUCUAGAAUUAACAACUGAUAUAAGCCAUUGGAUGAGGUAAUGUUUUGGUAAUAUGAAGUACCAAGAACGAGAAGUAGAACCUCGUCUACGAGACCAAACUGAACGAAAAUUUAUAGUUAAUGCUAUCUGGCUAUGGGAUACUCCUCUUUCAAGUAAAAGGCCCUUUGUGAAGUUCCUAAGAUCUGUGGUUCGUCAUUGUGAGUUGAGAGGGGUGUAUCUUGGCUAUAAAAUAUGAAGUAUUCUUUUGUAAGCACUCUCAGAAUUCAUUUAUAGACACUGAAUUGAUCUGAGAGUCACAGGGCUAUGGUGAAGGUCAUUAUUAAAAUAUUAAGUUUAAGUACAACUCUGACUGGUGUGUGGUUUGUAACUCUCCUCAUUUAGUAAUACAGGAAAUUACCACGACAGUAAUUCUUCCCCC
ensembl:lncRNA